rnacentral:rRNA from 1 species
CCCCAGACUCCUACGGGAGGCAGCAGUGGGGAAUAUUGCACAAUGGGGGGAACCCUGAUGCAGCGACGCCGCGUGGGUGAAGGAGCACCUCGGUGCGUAAAGCCCUAUCGGCAGGGAAGAAACAGACGGUACCUGACUAAGAAGCCCCGGCUAACUACGUGCCAGCAGCCGCGGGAAUACGUAGGGGGCAAGCGUUAUCCGGAUUUACUGGGUGUAAAGGGAGCGUAGACGGCGAUGCAAGUCUGAAGUGAAAGGCGGGGGCUCAACCCCCGGACUGCUUUGGAAACUGUUUGACUGGAGUGCAGGAGAGGUAAGUGGAAUUCCUAGUGUAGCGGUGAAAUGCGUAGAUAUUAGGAGGAACACCAGUGGCGAAGGCGGCCUGCUGGACUGCAACUGACGUUGAGGCCCGAAAGCGUGGGGAGCAAACAGGAUUAGAUACCCGUGUAU